ACCUCGAAAACCAAGACACAAGGAAGGACCUAGACACAGAUCCACACACAGUCAUUUCCCUCUAGGAGGAGACACUGCAUGGAGCAGGUGUUACAGAGUGACUGCAGUGUGUGUGGUGCUGCUGUGUGUUCUCUUGCUGACUGCCGUCACACUGCUGUGGAUCAAAUUCACCAUUCUGAAUACAGAAAACAACCAGUUACAGACCAGUUACAACACCCUGACUACAGAGAAAGACCGGUUACAACACCCUGCGAAAAAGGUUUCCUUCUGGGACGACAACCAUGCAGACCAAUUUGAUGCAGUGUGCGGCAUGUGGUCUGAGCACUGACAGGCUGACCUCCCACCCCUUCAACCUCUGCAGCAAUGAGGUGCCAUGUUGAACUUCCAGUGACCAGUAUGAGGGAGUGUGAGAGCGAUGACACCAAAUGUAACACACCUGCUCCCCAUUCGCAUCUGAGACCUUGUAACACUAACAAGUCACGUGACACCGGGGAGGGAAAAUGGCUAAUUGGGCCCAAUUUGGACAUUUUCACUUAGGGGUGUACUCUCUUUUGUUGCCAGCGGUUUAGAUAUUAAUGGCUGUGUGUUGAGUUAUUUUGAGGGGACAGCAAAUUUACACUGUUAUACAAUUUGUACACUCACUACUUUACAUUGUAGCAAAGUGUCAUUUCUUCAGUGUUGUCACAUGAAAAAAUAUAAUCAAAUAUUUACAAAAAUGUGAGGGGUGUACUCACUUUUGUGAGAUACUGUAUAUAUAAAAGUAUGAAAGCCACUAUUUUGAUGAUAAUUGUGUGCAUGUUCUUCAGAUUCAUUCACUGUAUCUCACAGAUCUGUAUUUCUUAUGAUUCUGAUGCAGUAACUUUGUAGAUGUGUUAUGAUGAAAGUAGUAUCAUAGAGAUAAUUCAUGUAUUUUAAGAGUGCAUCUCAGUGUCUCUGAAUCUGUUAAAUCAGCAUAAGCCUGAGCUCAAACAAGUUUGGAUUGAGAUGAAUUACACAGUUUUUGCUUCUAGAGUGGGGGACAUGAUGUGAAAUGACUAUAAAGGGGUUCAUUCCUGGUUUGCAGGUUCUUUUCUGCUCAAACUUUUAAGCUGAAUGCAGUUUAUGUAAAAACAAAGUUUUUACAUAAAAAAAGUUAUGGGAAAAUAAUCAGUGGUGGACGGGGUGUUGUGAUGCAACCUGGUGAUUAUUUUCCUAGAACAUCACAUCCUGAAGAGUUUUAUUCCUAUUAUACCACAGCGAUUUCUCAAUGCUUCCA